rnacentral:rRNA from 1 species
GAUCAUGGCUCAGGAUGAACGCUGGCGGCGUGCUUAACACAUGCAAGUCGAACGAGGCUUGCCGACGGAAGUUUCGGAUGGAAGACGGCGAGACCGAGUGGCGGACGGGUGAGUAACGCGUGGGGAACCUGCCCCAUUCCGGGGGAUACCAGUUGGAAACGACUGUUAAUACCGCAUAAGCGCACGAACGGGCAUCCGUAUAUGUGAAAAAACUGAGGUGGAAUGGGAUGGCCCCGCGUCUGAUUAGCCAGUUGGCAGGGUAACGGCCUACCAAAGCGACGAUCAGUAGCCGGCCUGAGAGGGCGACCGGCCACAUUGGGACUGAGACACGGCCCAAACUCCUACGGGAGGCAGCAGUGGGGAAUAUUGCACAAUGGGGGAAACCCUGAUGCAGCCGACGCCGCGUGAGUGAAGAAGUAUUUCGGUAUGUAAAGCUCUAUCAGCAGGGAAGAAGAUGACGGUACCUGCACAAGAAGCCCCGGCUAACUACGUGCCAGCCGCCGC